CUAAACGUAUUUUAAAAACUUUGCUCACUCAACACAUAAAGGAGCAACAAGCAUCACACCAAAACAUAUGCACCAGCAUGUACGCAUAAUAAUAUUGCUAAGCCUUAUGAUGAAUUUUAAUUAAAAAAAAUAUUAUUUUUCCUAUAUUUUCAUGAGCACAAAAAUAUAAAAUUAAAUAAUUUUAUCUAUAUUUCAAAAGGAGUAAAUUUUAGGGUGUUACAAUUCUACCCCCCUUAAAAUGAAUCUCGUCCUCGAGAUUCGGAAGAGACACGGAUUCCAAAAGAGAAAAAAAAAGAUACUGAUAACUAUUUCAACUUCACCACUUGUACUCCAAAGGCAAACACUCAUGUCUCGGGAUCACAACUUGUGAACAAAACUUCCAUAAAAUGUCUAUUAUUCGUAAUUGUUCAAGGUCCAUCUUGACUACCAACUUUUCACUUAUACAACUCAAAGACGUGAUAACUUAGCAUGGAUAUGCCUCCUCAGGUAGGAGCGGACCACCUUGAUACUCAAUUCUUUUCCCUGAUGGUGCGGUUUAAAAAAAAUUUCCACUGGGUAGUACGGAUCACUCCUUUGUUUGCACAUAACCAUAAGAUAUCUCAGAAGACAGUUAUCACUUCAUGAUAGUUUAAAAUGCAUCUUCCAGUGGUACCAAAGUACUACCCCCCUUAAGACGAGGUUGGCUGGGGGACAUUAGGGACUAAUCCUCCUAUCCUUUUUAGACGCUACACAUCAUAGUCUUUUAAAUUCCUUGUACCAAGUCUCUUAAUCCAAGGUUAGUUUAAACACUAAGUUCCAUCUAUUGGUACCUUUAUCACAGUUAAGUUGUUUCACUCUGGCAUCCCAAUUAUAGCUUCGUAAACUUUGGUGUCAUCUGAUCCUCAUAACAUAACUCUCAAUCCAUGAGUAUCAGCAAUGACAUAUAUUUCCAUUAGUAUUCUCUGAAUGGGAUGAUAUUUUGAACAAACCCAGCACUUGAUGUCCUUAUCGAUGUUCCAGUCAUUAACCACUUCUUCUCAUUGUAGUUCUUUAAUUGGGCUACCCCCCUUAAGAUAAGUCAACUAGGGGACCAAGAAAGGUAGCUUGCAUGUUUUCCAGACAAGUCAACUAACAUUGAGAACUUCUAACAUCCCAAAGAACUUAUGUGCAAGCGAACAAACAUGUAUCCUGAAAAUUUAUCAUGAUAU
rnacentral:lncRNA from 1 species